UCUCUCUUGAACCCACCUCCCCACGAAAAAAACCCAAACCCCGAAACCACCCCCAAAUCGUGCGUGCGUGCGGUUAGGGUGGCGAGCUGCUGCAGUACGAAUUGCGGCGAGCCUAGGCGGCGCCAGCGGCAGCUCGGGAAGGAACGGUCAGUGGCAGCUGAGAGGAGCGGCGCGCGAGAGAAAAUGCGUGGCGGCGACGGGCGACGCGGCGGGCCGGCUCGACCCUAGGCGGCACCGGCGGUUGCAGCCGAGGCGGUGGCUUCAACGACGACGGCUGGGGCCUGAGCGAGGAGAAGCUCGACAAGCUCGAGCGGGAGGCCUACCGCGAGCUCGCUGAGCGCAAGGCCUCCUCCUCCAGCGCCUCGACCUCUCCCGCGACUUCACCGCUGCGGCCGGCGGCGACAUGCGAGUGGCCUCGGCGAGAGGUCGCUGUCAUACUCGGCGGGGCUUGCUCCGAUGUCGCUGGAGUUAUCAAACCGUGCUUGCGGUUCGGGUGGAGUUGGCGAGAGGCGAGCCUAGGCGACGGUGGCCGCCUCGACGACGACUGGGGCCACCGCGUGCUCGGUGAGGGCGAGGCGGCUCACCCGGCGCGACCGUCCAGGGCGAGGAACCCCGACAUCGACCGGAGGCGACAGCGCCUGCGUCUCUCUCUCCGGCGAAGAGCUCGGCGUCUCUCCUCCGGCGAAGCGCGUCCCAGCGACGCAAAGGCGGAUCCCGCCUCUGCCUCCACUUCUCCCCGGUUGGCGGCGCCCCUUGGCUCCGCACGACGUGACCAUCCAGGUCCAGGCGCUUUGCCGAUGACACGCACACGCUCGUCUCUGACGUCUCCUCACCGGCAGCUCCUCCCCCGGCUGCGUCGGUGACCUCGCUGCCACCGUGGCCACCGACAUCGGCCAAUCCCGUCGUACUUGCCGCUGCUUCCGCAGGCUCCACCCUGGUCAGCGCUGGCAACGCGAGAGAGGGCGAGGUGGUCCAAGCUCGAUGGCAUGAAGGGCGGGAAUGAUGCUGGAUUUGGAAGAACAAUGGUGGAUGCUGAGGUCGACGCAGAUGCCGGCCCACAACUCGCGUCGUUGGGCUAAUCGUCGACCUCGCCGCCCAGUCCGCCGCUCAGCCCAGUCCUACCUCAUCGGCCGGCUCCUCCCCACUGUUGUGAUAUUCCCCUCGCCAGCAGCUCGUGUGGAAUUAGCCGCCGCAGUGUGGCGAUCGCCGGUAAAUCAGGUGCAUCAUAAGUUUUUGAUUGCGUACAUAUAUAGUUUGUGUGUUGAUUUAUUGCUAAUUGAAUAAUUGUUUUCGUAUGGUUGGACAUAAUCAGGUUUAGCUUAAAUAAAGUGCUUACAGGCUUGCAACUACGAUUAAUUUUGUGUUCCAAAAUUACAAUCUGUACUAAUCUAUUUGGAAAAAUUGGACUUUGACUUUUUUUCUCUGUGGAUGCGUGUGUCAAAACUGACAGCUCAGAGGUGAGACUACUCUAUUCUUGAAAUUAAGAGAGCUACAGAGACAUAAACUUCCACUGAUUUUACUUGUGAGCAUGUGGUAAGGUAUGCUGUGCUAACUCUUGUUUAACGUUGACGAAAUUCUGAGGAUAAUAAAACUUGAACUUUUGUUCCGGUGAGAACUUGUUUACUUGCAUUCCACCUUUAUUUACACUUUUCCUUGUGUCACACGCUGCAGGUUAGGAGGUUGGACAAAAGUACUUUGUGUAUGGUUCAAGAUUCAAAGCCCACUGGACUAUCAGAUGUGAGUUUGACUAAAUAUUGCCGUUAAUGAUGAUGAUAUAAUCCAAAACUUAAUGUCUUGUUGUUUCGACAAGUCUCGUGACAGAUACUCAAGCAAGAAUGUGCAAAUACUAACUUAUAGGAUAUUGGGCAAUUUUGCAGGCAGUCUGAUCAAACUAUAGUUUUAGCAGUAAUAAAAAUAAAGUUCUCCACAGGAAUUAAUGCAAUGAUUCCUUUCCAAAUCCCAAGCUAAACUCACAGAUUAACAGGCUUUGGACUAAAAAGAAACAAAUCUAACUUGCUGAUCUAAUGUUUUUGGGGUUUUCGGUUAACUGUACCAAAUCUGACAACAAGGUACUGAUUAAUUGAAGAAACAAACACAUACAAGAAGAUUUAACUGAAGAAAAUCAACACUGGCAGAACAGAUCUUUUUGUGACGAAUUUAGAGUUUAGACAACAAGGGUUUUAGAGAAAGAAGAUGAAAUAGAUAAGAUCUAGAGAAGACAAGCAGCAAAACUAAUAGACAAGGAGAGUUUCGUAUCAAAGAGUAAAACAUCACAGGCAGAUCAUGACUCUACCGCAUAACAAACUGACAGAAAUUUAAAGAACUAGAGCACAAACUUAAAAGGAAAACAGAGCACAACACAACUUCAGCAAUAUUAAAGAUUUCUCACGACUAGCAAGAACAAAUUUGGCAGCAGAUUACAGAUCUUCAGCAAGAACAAAUUCAGAAGCAGAUUACAGAUCUUCAGCAAGAACAGAUGGGAACUAGAGAGUGUGAAGAAUAGGGGUAGGGAUUACAGAGUUUCUUUCAGCAGCAGAGAAUUGGAGAAAAGGAAGAUGAUGAUCUAGCUUAACAACUCUCAGUUUCUGGUGAAGAAGCAUCCAAAUCACGCAAGAACAGCUCUUCUUCCUCUCUCUUCUCCAUGUUUCUGGAUCCACCCCCUUUUCUUGUGUCUUCCGAAAAAAAAGAGGUUCACCACCUUUUAUGCUCUUCUUCUUGCUCUCUCCCAGAGGCUGUCACAAUCACCUUUUGAAUUAUGCAACCAGCCCUCUCCUUUUGCUAGCUUGACACCGAAGAAGAUCCCUGCUUAUGCCUCCUUUUUGCUUGAUCACUCCUCUUCCUUUUUCCUUUCUUUGCUUUUUGCUUUUCUUCUCCCUGCUUCUUUGUCCUUGCAUCUUGAUGUAGUAGGAAGUAGAUUUUUGGUGCCUUUUCGCACCCUUUUCUGCAAAAAGCAUGCAGUGCUGUAAAAAGACAGAUUUGGCCCUUUUCGGCUGAAUUCAUUCAAAUUUAAAUUCAAAUGAUUCAAAUUCAA